rnacentral:lncRNA from 1 species
AUGGGGCCAGGAGGGGUUCCUGCUGAUGGACUGGGAUGUUUCUUCUGCCUGAUCCUGGGACAGCAACUGACCGUGGCCUCUCUCCCUCUUGCAGUGCGCAACUUUCAUCACUGUGGUGCUGGUGAGAGGGGAUAUCCUCAUCUUCAGUCCCCAGCAGGCCAGAGCGUGAAGAUCAUGGCAGCAGAGCAGGCAUGGAUGUGUCCCAUCUGCCGUGAUGGGCGAAAGGACACUGCCUAUGCGGUACCUUGCUGCCACGAGUUCUGUAUGGGCUGCAUCCUGCGGUGGGCCAAGCAGAACAACAGCUGCCCUCUCUGUAGGAGGGUCAUGACUGUCAUCAAAGUUGCUGAGUGGGACAAUGAUGAUGAGCUGGAUUUCAUGAUCUGGCCCCCAGCACAGCCAGUACCUGCCUGCUUCCAUGCAGGCACUGCUCCUGGCUACAGCCCCCACAGCUCUUUGCCAUCCCCUUCGCUGUCCCCUUUGCCAUCCCCUCUGCCCUUUCUGCUGUUGCCAGAGGAGCAGGAGGGUGAGGAGGUAGAAGAGCAGGAUGCUGAGGAGGCAGAUGAAGAGGGGGCUGAGGAAGCAGAGGAGCAGUGGGCUGAGGAGGCAGAGCAGCUGCAGGCUGAGGAAGCAUAUGAAGAGGAGGCUGAAGAGGCAGAGCAGCUGCAGCCUGAAGAAGCAUAUGAAGAGGAGGCUGAGGAGGCAGAGGAUGGGCCUAUAGUGGGUGGUCUCCUGCCUGAGGUCUGGGCAGCUCUGUUCAGGCAGCACCGGCAGAUCCUGGACCCUGUGCUGCCCUGGCUGCGGCAAGAGCUGCGAGUCAUCUUUGGGACACAGUGGUGGCCAGCACUGUCAACAGAGACCAUCAUCCUGAAUGCCCUGUGCAGCAUUGGGCUGGACAGCGAGGCCCUGGUCCAGCAGGUGUGGCCUCUCCUGGAGGACAGAGCAGAGACACUCAUCCAGGGACUCACUGACACCAUUGUGUGCCAGUGCGGUGAAGAGGCCCAUAGGCAGCUUGGCCUCCAGGAUGCUGACGUGUCCAGGGAGCAGGAGGACAGCCCUGUGGCCGCUCCUAGCCCCGCAGCCUCCCCACAAGUGACCCUCACCUCACGGCCUGCAAGUCCCAACACGGAGGAGCUGCCCAGCACACCAGAGGCUGUCCCUCGUGGCGGCCCCCUUCACUGCCCCGCUAUGCACAUCCCGAGGGAAUCGGAGGAGCCCCAUACGGAGAUGGAGCAGGACACAGCAGCAGGUCCCUCUGCUCUGGGCAACAGCUCCUCUGCUCCUGGCCAACCCCCUGGGAGGACCCGGCAGCCACCUAAGAGAAGGGCCAACAGUGACGAUGACCCAGACCAGCCCUGCAAGAGGCUGCGCCGUCAGCAGCACUAG